GGCAUGACGAAGCAUGGCUCGCGCUCCACCAGCUCGCUGCCGCCCGAGCCCAUGGAGAUCGUGCGCAGCAAGGCGUGCUCGCGCCGGGUGCGCCUCAACGUCGGGGGCCUGGCGCACGAGGUGCUGUGGCGCACUCUGGACCGCCUGCCCCGCACGCGGCUGGGCAAGCUUCGGGACUGCAACACGCACGACUCCCUGCUCCAGGUGUGCGACGACUACAGCCUUGAGGACAACGAGUACUUCUUCGACCGCCACCCUGGCGCCUUUACCUCCAUUCUCAAUUUCUACCGCACCGGCCGGCUGCACAUGAUGGAGGAGAUGUGCGCGCUGAGCUUCAGCCAGGAGCUGGACUACUGGGGCAUCGAUGAGAUCUACCUGGAGUCCUGCUGCCAGGCCCGCUAUCACCAAAAGAAGGAGCAGAUGAACGAGGAGCUGAAGCGCGAGGCCGAGACGCUGCGGGAGCGGGAGGGCGAGGAGUUUGACAACACGUGCUGUGCAGAGAAGAGGAAGAAACUCUGGGAUCUGCUGGAGAAGCCCAACUCGUCGGUGGCCGCCAAG
rnacentral:lncRNA from 1 species